GGGGAAUAUUGGACAAUGGGCGAAAGCCUGAUCCAGCAAUGCCGCGUGAGUGAUGAAGGCCUUAGGGUUGUAAAGCUCUUUUACCCGGGAUGAUAAUGACAGUACCGGGAGAAUAAGCCCCGGCUAACUCCGUGCCAGCAGCCGCGGUAAUACGGAGGGGGCUAGCGUUGUUCGGAUUGACUGGGCGUAAAGCGCGCGUAGGCGGAUCGUCAAGUCGGGGGUGAAAUCCCGGGGCUCAACCCUGGAAUGGCCUUCGAGACUGGCGGUCUUGAGUUCGAGAGAGGUGGGUGGAAUUCCGAGUGUAGAGGUGAAAUUCGUAGAUAUUCGGAGGAACACCAGUGGCGAAGGCGGCCCACUGGCUCGACACUGACGCUGAGGCGCGAAAGCGUGGGGAGCAAA
rnacentral:rRNA from 1 species